GUGCUCACUUCAGCAGCGCAUUUACCGAAAUUGGAACUACACGGAAAUUAGCAUGGCCCCGCACAAGGAUGACAUGCAAAUUCAUGAAGCGUUCCCUAGUUUU